GCUUCUCUUGAGAGCGGCGGACGGGUGAGUAAUGCCUAGGAAUCUGCCUAGUGGUGGGGGAUAACGUUCGGAAACGGACGCUAAUACCGCAUACGUCCUACGGGAGAAAGCGGGGGAUCUUCGGACCUCGCGCCAUUAGAUGAGCCUAGGUCGGAUUAGCUAGUUGGUGAGGUAAUGGCUCACCAAGGCGACGAUCCGUAACUGGUCUGAGAGGAUGAUCAGUCACACUGGAACUGAGACACGGUCCAGACUCCUACGGGAGGCAGCAGUGGGGAAUAUUGGACAAUGGGCGAAAGCCUGAUCCAGCCAUGCCGCGUGUGUGAAGAAGGUCUUCGGAUUGUAAGGCACUUUAAGUUGGGAGGAAGGGUAGUAACCUAAUACGUUGCUACUUUGACGUUACCGACAGAAUAAGCACCGGCUAACUUCGUGCCAGCAGCCGCGGUAAUACGAAGGGUGCAAGCGUUAAUCGGAAUUACUGGGCGUAAAGCGCGCGUAGGUGGUUCAGUAAGUUGGAAGUGAAAUCCCCGGGCUCAACCUGGGAACUGCUUUCAAAACUGCUGAGCUAGAGUACGGUAGAGGGUGGUGGAAUUUCCUGUGUAGCGGUGAAAUGCGUAGAUAUAGGAAGGAACACCAGUGGCGAAGGCGACCACCUGGACUGAUACUGACACUGAGGUGCGAAAGCGUGGGGAGCAAACAGGAUUAGAUACCCUGGUAGUCCACGCCGUAAACGAUGUCAACUAGCCGUUGGAAUCCUUGAGAUUUUA
rnacentral:rRNA from 1 species